GCACUGCUGACGAGUCCAAAACAGGACGAAACAGCUGUCCAGUAC
rfam:Echinostoma caproni strain Egypt genome assembly, scaffold: ECPE_contig0002493